rnacentral:tRNA from 1 species
GCCUGGUUAGCUCAAUCGGUAGAGCGUGAGACUCUUACGGGUUCACCAAUCUCAAGGCUGCGGGUUCGACCCCCGCAUCGGGCU